rnacentral:rRNA from 1 species
UACGAAGAGGGUUAGCGUUGUUAGGAAUUACUGGGCGUAAAGCGCACGCAGGCGGACAUUUAAGUCAGGGGUGAAAUCCCGGGGCUCAACCUCGGAAUUGCCUUUGAUACUGGGUGUCUUGAGUAUGGGAGAGGUGAGUGGAAUUCCGAGUGUAGAGGUGAAAUUCGUAGAUAUUCGGAGGAACACCGGUGGCGAAGGUGGCUCACUGGCCCAUUACUGACGCUGAGGUGCGAAAGCGUGGGGAGCAAACAGG